UCCAGUCAAAUUUUCACUUUACAUAAACUAUCAUUGCAAUUCAAUUAUUGAAUUUGCUCAAAAUAUGCUUAGACAAAAACAUUUUAACUUUCAAUUAAGAUUAGACAAAAAUAACUAAGUUGUCAUACCCCGUUUAAUACCCUCUUUAGUGGAGUACACUUGUCGACCGUCCGGUUCUCCCCUGGUGAGUGGGAGACAAACUCUGUCAAACUUUUAAUUCCCUUCCUUCGUGAUCCGUGUAGCAGCAGCAGAGCAGUGAACCUCAGAAAGUGGAAGUCAGGUGUCACGCUGGGAGUUGGCCGACCGUUCGGAAUGGAGGCAGUAUUUAAGAUCACACCUGAAGACUUCUGGUGGUCUCCUCUUUCACUUGAACCGUCCGGUUUUGGGUUACAUCUGACCUUGGAAAACUUAGAAGAAUAGUUCCUACCAACCUCCUUUCAAAGUCUUAGCUGGAAUUAGAGAGGUUACUUUGGAAGCUACCCUGGAGGACACUCUGGAGGAUGCCGUGCAGACNNAGUUCCCCGUGGAGGCCGUGCCUGAGAGUUUUGCAGGACCGUCCGGUCCUUAGGAUAGUUUCUCUUAUUCUAGUUCUGUUGAUGUUGGCCGUGAGGUCAAUGAACUGUAUUCCAGACCGUUCGGUCUAUUUUGUAAACGUUGUGUUUUAUAUUACUGAUUGUAUAGUUUUAAAUUUCAAGUAUAUUUCAUACCUCUCUA